GGAGAGGUGGCUGAGUGGUCGAAAGCGCCUUCCUGCUAAGAAGGUGAGUCCUCAAAAGGGGCUCCGAGGGUUCAAAUCCCUCCCUCUCCGCCA
rnacentral:tRNA from 1 species